UGUGCUAAUCCUAUUGGAAUGUAGCAAUUAUCACCUACCAUAUAGGUGUUAAACUCUGAAUUUAACAGGGAUUAACACC